rnacentral:tRNA from 1 species
GGGGCUGUAGCUCAGUGGUAGAGUGCUUGCCUAGCAUGCAUGAGGCACUAGGUUUGAUCCUCAGCACCA